GUCAAAUUCUGUGCCCGCUGGUCAGGCCACCCCUUCCAAGGGUGUCACUGCUUCAUCCUCCUCGCCCCCAGCCUCAGUCCCAAAAGUUGCCCCUCUUGUUGACCUGAGUGAUACCCCAACCUCAGCUCCCUCUGCUAACAAUCUGUCCUCCACUGUCCUGGCUAACCAAGGAGCUGUACUCAGUCCUAGCACACCUGCCAGUGCGGGAGAGACCUCCAAGGUCCCUGCAACCAGUAAGCCCUCCCCCACUCCCACCCCCACUCCAGCCGGG
rnacentral:lncRNA from 1 species